GGCCCCCGCCUGCUUCGGAGGGUCACCUGCUCGCUGGUGGGCAUCUAGGCGGCACACCCAGCUUUCUGUCAGCGGGAGCCGGGGGAGCGAGGUGAGAGAGGCGAGCUCCCGCUCCGGCUCCGCGCUGAUUAAAAUGGGACAUUUCAUUGUAACGUGGAAGGAGAUCGUUUUUUAAGCAAUGGCCUGGGGGGGGGGGGGGGGGGUGCCAGCCGGCUGGAGAUGCAGAGGAACCUGGGAUGCAGUGCAGGGGAUGGGGAAAACGUGACCAGGCUGUGUCCGCUGUCACCAUCACUACAGCCGUCAGCGCUGGCCGGAGCUCCAAGACCAGAUGAAUAAGAACGCCAGUGUUCCCAGUAUGAGUGGCAAUAACACAUGCACCGGGGAAGGAUGUGCGGCGAGGUACAGAGAAAGCGAGAGAGACGCGGACGGAGAGAGGCAGAGCGGAGGGGAAGCGAGAGAGAACAGAGACGCUUGAAAGAGAGACGAGGCCGGGAAGGCGGGCGAGAGAGAGCGCGCUUGCGUGGGUGCGAUGGCGCGCCGCGAGGCAGGGAGAGGGGGAGAGGGGAGUGUGGCUGCCUUUGAUCUGCUGGGUGUCUGCAGAGGCAGGUAUGACAAGUACACUUCCAGCAUGUGGCAAACCAGCAAACACUGCCAUUUAAUUAGCAGGGAAACAGACCCCGGUACGGGCCCGUAGUCCAAAUUAGUGCCUCGUGCUCUUUUGAAGUCUCGCGGAGCGGCUCUCGUGCCUCUUUUUUAUCUGUGCAUCUGCUAAUGACAUGUCAGUUUAACGCCUCAUCGCGGGAGCGCUGGGCUCAGCUUCUAGGAAGACUUCCUGUUGGACUUCAAAGGGUGGAAGGGUUGACUGGGAUCGAGUCCUCUGCAAACUUUAAUGCAGGCCCCCACCAAGGGCUCAGCUUCAUUAGCAGCCCGGCGUCGUAGCCGAAACUCUCAGAUACCGGGUGGAAUUUUAAUUUCGUUAAAUCUUUCAGAUCAUUAAAAGCAAAAAAAAA
rnacentral:lncRNA from 1 species